UAUGGCACAUUCCUGUGCGGCACGUGCAGAUUAUAGAAAGUUGUUACAGACUUAAAGUGUUUGCAUGUGAAGUUUGGAGUCAGCUCUUGUCUGUGUUUUAAUCCUUUGCAUUAGCAUUUAUAAUUCAUGAUCCAUCGUUAACACUUUUAAGCAUAAACGUGUGGCUCUGUUGAACAAUGCAAAGUUCAAAACAUUUUGUUGUCGAUAGUAGCACCACUAUGCAGAGAAGAUUAAUGUCUAUGGUACGUUCCAGCCUCCACUCCUCCAUAAACAUAUUAUUAAACUGAUCUAGUCGGAAUCGUACAGAAACUGUAAUGGUUUCUUUAAAUUAUGGAACCGACAAGGGUUGAACUACAUCAUAUAGCGUAUAUAUGUAUAUAUGUAACAAAAUACU